rnacentral:rRNA from 1 species
CCGCAAUGGACGAAAGUCUGACGGAGCGACGCCGCGUGAGCGAAGAAGGUCUUCGGAUCGUAAAGCUCUGUUGUUAGGGAAGAAGAAGUACCGUUCGAAUAGGGCGGUACGGUGACGGUACCUAACGAGAAAGCCCCGGCUAACUACGUGCCAGCAG